rnacentral:misc_RNA from 1 species
GAUGAAGAACGUAGUGAAAUGCGAUAAGUAAUGUGAAUUGCAGAAUUCAGUGAAUCAUUGAAUCUUUGAACGCACAUUGCGCCCCCUGGUAUUCCGGGGGGCAUGCCUGUCCGAGCGUCAUUACAACCCUCAAGCUCAGCUUGGUGUUGGGCCCCGCCGCCCCGGCGGGCCCUAAAGUCAGUGGCGGUGCCGUCCGGCUCCGAGCGUAGUAAUUCUUCUCGCUCUGGAGGUCCGGUCGUGUGCUCGCCAGCAACCCCCAAUUUUUUUCAGGUUGACCUCGGAUCAGGUAGGGAUACCCGCUGAACUUAAGCAUAUCAAUAAGCGGAGGA